CAUUAUAUUUGGUAACCUAUAAAUCAGGACUGUUUCACUUCUUGCGUUAAAAAAUAUUUCAAGUAUUGGUGCACAAAACUGUUGUCUCAGCCCUUGGGCCAUCAGUGUGAUCACGGACAGUUUGCCACGCCUAGCUUAUCUGAAGGAUAUUCACUCAGUGUACAACACUAACACCAUUAUUUUAGGGCUUGCUUAAUCCUCACCACUCUGAGUACGAAUUGCACUUAUGUCGAAGGACACAAUUCCUUCUACGACGAGCGGAUGACGCAGAGAGACACAAUUAUACACCACCCGUUGCGAGUGGACUGCCCGAGCGGCACAUUACCCUCGCCCCACGAAGCUGUAGCAACUGUGUCGUCAACAACUUUAUAUAUAACGUGCAAAGACGAUGAAGACGAAUGAUGAACACACGAAAUACAAAAUUCCGCUUGCAUUCCUUCAAAGUACUUAAAGAUAGCUCUUAUCACGCUUUUAAUAAUGAUGAAAACAACUACUUUCGUUUUUAUUUCAUACUUUUUAGCUGGAGUGUGUGAAUCUGUGCUUUCGUGUUAUCUACCAAACAAAUGAUUUCAAGUACUCAAAUUUUCUUGCUUGUCAUGGUGGCAUUUUUAAAAAAUAUUUCGAAUAGUAAUGCAGAAAGUUGCUGUGUUACCGGUACGGACAUUUAUGAUAUCAGGGAGAGUUUGCGUGAUCUCAGAUCUAUAAGUUACGAAUUAAGUGUUAUUCGUUCCAUAAAAUCCAAUGAAUUUUAUAAAAUGGACAACAUAUACGUUCCACUUUUAGGGGCCUGUUGCGGUUUUCUUGCAGCCGUAUUGUUAGCUUUGUUGUAUAUAAUAUGGAAAAUUAAUAAAAACAGAAAUUAGCUAAGUGUAUAA